AUUGAACGCUGGCGGCAUGCUUUACACAUGCAAGUCGAACGGUAACAGGCCGCAAGGUGCUGACGAGUGGCGAACGGGUGAGUAAUGCAUCGGAACGUGCCCAGUCGUGGGGGAUAACGCAGCGAAAGCUGCGCUAAUACCGCAUACGAUCUAUGGAUGAAAGCGGGGGACCGAAAGGCCUCGCGCGAUUGGAGCGGCCGAUGUCAGAUUAGGUAGUUGGUGGGGUAAAGGCUCACCAAGCCAACGAUCUGUAGCUGGUCUGAGAGGACGAUCAGCCGCACUGGGACUGAGACGCGGCCCAGACUCCUACGGGAGGCAGCAGUGGGGAAUUUUGGACAAUGGGCGAAAGCCUGAUCCAGCAAUGCCGCGUGUGUGAAGAAGGCCUUCGGGUUGUAAAGCACUUUUGUCCGGAAAGAAAUGGCUCUGGUUAAUACCUGGGGUCGAUGACGGUACCGGAAGAAUAAGGACCGGCUAACUACGUGCCAGCCGCCGCAGUAAGAC
rnacentral:rRNA from 1 species